rnacentral:rRNA from 1 species
UGACAGGCAACGCAUAAGAUGGGUCGGCGGCCGAUUAGGCUGUUGGCGGGGUAAUGGCCCACCAAACCAAAGAUCCAUACGGGCCUUGAGAGAGGUAGCCCGGAGAGGGACACUGAGAUACUGGUCCCAGCCCUACGGGGUGCAGCAGGCGCGAAACCUUUACAAUGCACGCAAGUGUGAUAAGGGAACCCUAAGUGCUCAUGAAAUGCAUAGGUUUUUGCCAAGGUUAAAACUCUUAGCGAAUAAGUGGUGGGAAAGACUUGUGCCAGCCGCCGCGGUAACACCAGCGCCACAAGUGGCAACCGCUUUUAUUUGGCCUAAAGCGUCCGUAGCCGGUUUAGUAAAUUUCCUGUGAAAUCGUUGCGCUUAACGUAACGGCGUGCAGGAAAGACUGCUAAACUUGGGACCGGGAGGCGUCAGAGGUAUUCCUGAGGGAGCGGUAAAAUGCUAUAAUCUUAGGAAGACCCCCUGUGGCGAAGGCGUCUGACGAGAACGGAUCCAACGGUGAGGGACGAAAGCUAGGGGAGCAAACCGGAUUAGAUACCCGAGUAGUCCUAGCUGUAAACUCUGCGAGCUAGGUGUUGCGUAUUCUCCGUGAAUAUGCAGUGUCGUAGCGAAGGUGGUUAAGCUCGCCGCCUGGGAAGUAUGGUCGCAAGGCUGAAACUUAAAGGAAUUGGCGGGGGAGCACUACAAAGGGUGCGGCGUGCGGUUUAAUCUAACUCAACGCAGAGAAUCUCACCAGAAGCGACGGCAGAAUGAAAGUCAGAUUAAAGGUUUUACUUGACGAGCCGAGAGGUAGUGCAUGGCCGCCGUCAGCUCGUUCCGUAAGGUGUCCUGUUAAGUCAGGCAACGAGCGAGACCUGUACCUACAAUUGCCAGCGACAGAUUUCUGGAUCGGGCACAUUGUAGGAACUGCCGUGGUAACACAGAGGAAGGUGCAGGCUACGGUAGGUCUGUAUGCCCCGAAUCUCAUGGGCUACACGCGCGCAACAAUGGUAGGGACAAUGGGACGCGACUCCGAAAGGAGAAGCUAAACCUCGAAACCCUAUCUUAGUACAGAUUGAGGCUUGUAACUCAGCCUCAUGACGACGGAAUCCCUAGUAAUCAGAAGUUAUCAACUUCUGGUGAAUACGUCCCUGCUCCUUGCACACACCGCCCGUCAAACCAACCGAGCAGGGUAUGGAUGAGGACUAGUUUCCGGAUUAGUUCGAAUUCGAG